rnacentral:rRNA from 1 species
UACGUAGGGUGCGAGCGUUAUUCGGAAUUACUGGGCGUAAAGCGUGCGCAGGCGGUUUUUUAAGUCAGCUGUGAAAUCCCCGGGCUUAACCUGGGAAUGGCAUUUGGGACUGCAAGGCUCGAGUGCGGUAGAGGAGACUGGAAUUCCUGGUGUAGCAGUGAAAUGCGUAGAUAUCAGGAGGAACACCGAUGGCGAAGGCAGGUCUCUGGGCUGACACUGACGCUGAUGCACGAAAGCGUGGGGAGCAAACAGG